CUCGUGUGUGGCAGUGUGGCGGCGGCGGAAGAGUUUGGCGCGAUGUCUCACACCAUUUUGCUGGUACAGCUUACCAAGAGACCAGAAGGCAGAACUUAUGCUGAUUAUGAAUCAGUGAAUAAGUGCAUGGAAGGUGUUUGUAAAAUGUAUGAAGAACAUCUGAAGAGAAUGAAUCCCAACAGCCACUCUAUCGCAUAUGAUUUCAGCCAGUUGUUUGACUUUAUUGAUGAUUUGGCGGAUCUCAGCUGUCUUGUUUACCGAGCUGAUACCCAGACAUACCAGCCUUAUAACAAAGAUUGGAUUAAAGAGAAGAUCUACGUGCUCUUUCGUUGACAGGCCCAACAGGCCGGGAAAUAGUUGAGAGCGGUAGAGCGUCCUGUAGGUGAAGAGUGAGAUCU